GGGGGCGAAAUAGGAUCGACGAGGGCGUAAAGGGCGUGCUUUUUCCCGGUAUUGUUCCGCCGUUAUCGGGCUACUGCAAUAGUUGCCAACGACAACUUUGCUCCGGUUGCUCAGGCUGCGUAACGCAGUUUGAAAGACCAUCUUAAAGUCCUAACGGGUUAAGCUCCGUUAGGCGGGGUUCGGAGGCACCUGGCAACAGAAGCCUCCACU
rnacentral:tmRNA from 6 species